CACGUAGGGGGCAAGCGUUGUCCGGAUUUAUUGGGCGUAAAGAGCUCGUAGGUGGUUCGGUAAGUCGGGUGUUAAACCCCCAGGCUCAACCUGGGGACGCCACUCGAUACUGCUGUGACUAGAGUCCGGUAGGGGAGCGUGGAAUUCCUGGUGUAGCGGUGAAAUGCGCAGAUAUCAGGAGGAACACCAGCGGCGAAGGCGGCGCUCUGGGCCGGUACUGACACUGAGGAGCGAAAGCGUGGGGAGCGAACGGG
rnacentral:rRNA from 1 species